rnacentral:rRNA from 1 species
AAGCGUGCGCAGGCGGCUUUGUAAGACAGGUGUGAAAUCCCCGGGCUUAACCUGGGAACUGCGCUUGUGACUGCAAGGCUCGAGUGCGGCAGAGGGGGGUGGAAUUCCACGUGUAGCAGUGAAAUGCGUAGAGAUGUGGAGGAACACCGAUGGCGAAGGCAGCCCCCUGGGUCGACACUGACGCUCAUGCACGAAAGCGUGGGUAGCAAACAGGAUUAGAUACCCUGGUAGUCCACGCCCUAAACGAUGCCAACUAGGUGUUGGGGAAGGAGACUUCCUUAGUACCGUAGCUAACGCGUGAAGUUGGCCGCCUGGGGAGUACGGUCGCAAGAUUAAAACUCAAAGGAAUUGACGGGGACCCGCACAAGCGGUGGAUGAUGUGGAUUAAUUCGAUGCAACGCGAAAAACCUUACCUACCCUUGACAUGCCAGGAAUCCUGCUGAGAGGCGGGAGUGCUCGAAAGAGAGCCUGGACACAGGUGCUGCAUGGCUGUCGUCAGCUCGUGUCGUGAGAUGUUGGGUUAAGUCCCGCAACGAGCGCAACCCUUGUCAAUAGUUGCCAUCAUUCAGUUGGGCACUCUAUUGAGACUGCCGGUGACAAACCGGAGGAAGGUGGGGAUGACGUC